GGUUGUGGCUCAGUGGCAGAGCGCUUGCUUAUCAUGCAUGAGGCACUGGGUUUGAUCCCCCAUACCA
rnacentral:tRNA from 1 species